AAUGAGGUAAAGACAGUACUUUUAUGGGCUAGAUUGAGUCAUACAGUUUGGGCUAAAGUAAAAAGUUAAUAGAAAUUAAAGGGUUUAAUACUAAUCUCACUGACACAGGUGGAAAUAAUGGGCAAAUCCACUGAGUUCAAGGGAAUUUCACCACAGCCCCACCAGGGUAAAAAGGGAAUAAAGCCAAAAAAAGACUGAAUCUUGCUUUCAGUUACAUUAGUGACCUAAUGCAGAGCAACUGUUUAAAUCAAAGGAGGAACUCUGAACACACAUUCGAGUAACUGAGCCCUGCAUAUGGGGCAAUGGGAAUUUUGACUAAGCAUAUAGCACAAGACUGGACUUUCCUGUCUCAAGCAAUUUGGAGGAGAGCACACAAUAAUUAAAUUAAAUAAACCAGGAUACGAACAUAGGGAGUGAGGAUGUUUCCAGACACCAUUAAAGUUUGUCAAUGCCCUGACAACGGACACGUGGUCAGUACCUGAACGGAAUAGACUGAAGUCCAUUUCCUACCCAGCUAGAGAAGGUCUGUCCCUUCCCCACAAGCAAAGCAACGUUCAGUAUACGGCUAUCAGAAUCUGACUUUUAACCAUAAAUAGAAGAGUGGAUGAAAAUGUUUUCAAGUUAUUUAUUUUCAAUUCAUCUUGGAAAGGGAAGAGUCAAAAAUAUAUCUGCAGAAAACAGGAAGUUGAGAAGAGCUUUUAUGGCACACCUGGACCCACUCCAUGCAUGCCUGUGAAGAGGAAAACUCCUGCUGAUAAAAUCCGAUGCACCUGUCUGAGAGGCGGCUUUCUGAGUCUGAAUUGUAAUGAAGUACAACAGUAUUCCUUGCAGAGACUAAUGCACCAGAUGUAAGCCUUGCUUCUGCCUGUUCCUUUCAUCGUGAGGGAUGCACUUUGUUCUAGUUCCGAACAUCAGCGUUGGCUUUGCUGGCAGAAAGUAAAAAGAGGGAAUGAAAGAAUGAGAAAGAGAGAGAUUACCAAGGUAUAGUUUGUUAGUCUUAUAAUUUAUGGGUGGAAAGCGCUCUGUUAGAACUGAAUGCAUAUUUU
rnacentral:lncRNA from 1 species